rnacentral:rRNA from 1 species
GUAUGGGGAUCUGCCCGAUAGAGGGGGAUAACUACUGGAAACGGUGGCUAAUACCGCAUAAUGUCUACGGACCAAAGCAGGGGCUCUUCGGACCUUGCACUAUCGGAUGAACCCAUAUGGGAUUAGCUAGUAGGUGGGGUAAAGGCUCACCUAGGCGACGAUCUCUAGCUGGUCUGAGAGGAUGAUCAGCCACACUGGGACUGAGACACGGCCCAG